GGUUAAGCGACUAAGCGUACACGGUGGAUGCCCUGGCAGUCAGAGGCGAUGAAGGACGUGCUAAUCUGCGAUAAGCGUCGGUAAGGUGAUAUGAACCGUUAUAACCGGCGAUUUCCGAAUGGGGAAACCCAGUGUGAUUCGUCACACUAUCAUUAACUGAAUCCAUAGGUUAAUGAGGCGAACCGGGGGAACUGAAACAUCUAAGUACCCCGAGGAAAAGAAAUCAACCGAGAUUCCCCCAGUAGCGGCGAGCGAACGGGGAGCAGCCCAGAGCCUGAAUCAGUGUGUGUGUUAGUGGAAGCGUCUGGAAAGGCGCGCGAUACAGGGUGACAGCCCCGUACACAAAAAUGCACAUACUGUGAGCUCGAUGAGUAGGGCGGGACACGUGGUAUCCUGUCUGAAUAUGGGGGGACCAUCCUCCAAGGCUAAAUACUCCUGACUGACCGAUAGUGAACCAGUACCGUGAGGGAAAGGCGAAAAGAACCCCGGCGAGGGGAGUGAAAAAGAACCUGAAACCGUGUACGUACAAGCAGUGGGAGCACAGAGCAAUCUGUGUGACUGCGUACCUUUUGUAUAAUGGGUCAGCGACUUAUAUUCUGUAGCAAGGUUAACCGAAUAGGGGAGCCGAAGGGAAACCGAGUCUUAACUGGGCGUUAAGUUGCAGGGUAUAGACCCGAAACCCGGUGAUCUAGCCAUGGGCAGGUUGAAGGUUGGGUAACACUAACUGGAGGACCGAACCGACUAAUGUUGAAAAAUUAGCGGAUGACUUGUGGCUGGGGGUGAAAGGCCAAUCAAACCGGGAGAUAGCUGGUUCUCCCCGAAAGCUAUUUAGGUAGCGCCUCGUGAAUUCAUCUCCGGGGGUAGAGCACUGUUUCGGCAAGGGGGUCAUCCCGACUUACCAACCCGAUGCAAACUGCGAAUACCGGAGAAUGUUAUCACGGGAGACACACGGCGGGUGCUAACGUCCGUCGUGAAGAGGGAAACAACCCAGACCGCCAGCUAAGGUCCCAAAGUCAUGGUUAAGUGGGAAACGAUGUGGGAAGGCCCAGACAGCCAGGAUGUUGGCUUAGAAGCAGCCAUCAUUUAAAGAAAGCGUAAUAGCUCACUGGUCGAGUCGGCCUGCGCGGAAGAUGUAACGGGGCUAAACCAUGCACCGAAGCUGCGGCAGCGAC
rnacentral:rRNA from 1 species